GAUGAACGCUGGCGGCGUGCCUAAUACAUGCAAGUCGAGCGAACAGAUGAGGAGCUUGCUCCUCUGACGUUAGCGGCGGACGGGUGAGUAACACGUGGAUAACCUACCUAUAAGACUGGGAUAACUUCGGGAAACCGGAGCUAAUACCGGAUAAUAUAUUGAACCGCAUGGUUCAAUAGUGAAAGACGGUUUUGCUGUCACUUAUAGAUGGAUCCGCGCCGCAUUAGCUAAUUGGUAAGGUAACGGCUUACCAAGGCAACGAUGCGUAGCCGACCUGAGAGGGUGAUCGGCCACACUGGAACUGAGACACGGUCCAGACUCCUACGGGAGGCAGCAGUAGGGAAUCUUCCGCAAUGGGCGAAAGCCUGACGGAGCAACGCCGCGUGAGUGAUGAAGGUCUUCGGAUCGUAAAACUCUGUUAUUAGGGAAGAACAAAUGUGUAAGUAACUAUGCACGUCUUGACGGUACCUAAUCAGAAAGCCACGGCUAACUACGUG
rnacentral:rRNA from 1 species